CGCUCAGCGCUGAGGCCUGCCGGAAGCCAAGAUGGCGUAUAGGUGUUUGCCAGGCCGCAGUUGGCGCCUGGUCAGUAUCUGAGCUGGUAGUUUGUAAGCGGCUGUGGCGAACGCCCUCUCCGCGGUCAUGGCCAGGCAUCGGAAUGUCCGAGGCUAUAACUACGAUGAAGAUUUUGAAGAUGAUGAUCUCUAUGGCCAGUCUGUAGAGGAUGAUUAUUGUAUUUCACCAUCAACAGCUGCUCAGUUUAUUUACUCACAACGUGACAAACCUUCAGUUGUUGAACCUGUAGAAGAAUAUGAUUAUGAAGAUUUGAAAGAAUCCUCCAGUUCUCUUUUGAACCAUCAGCUAAGCGGAAUUGAUCAAGCUCGUCUUUUUUCAUGCCUUGAUCACAUGAGAGAGGUACUUGGAGAUGCUGUGCCAGAUGACAUAUUGAUUGAAGCAGUUCUGAAGAACAAGUUUGAUGUGCAAAAGGCUUUGUCAGUGGUUCUGGAGCAAGAUAAAAUGCAGAAUUUGAAGGUCAAGAGUGAGGGAGCAAUAUCUACAGGAAAGAUAGCAAAAGGAAAAUCAAUAGAUUCCCAGUCAUCUCGAAGUGAAUCUGAACUUGUGCCAAAAGUUGCUAAAAUGACUGUAUCUGGAAAGAAGCAAACUAUGGGAUUUGAAGUGCCUGGAGUAACUGCUGAAGAAAAUGGUCAUAUUUUCCACACACCUCAAAAAGGACAUUCUAGUGAAGAUACCAGCCUUGUUUCUUCUGAUGUACUUGAGACCGCUUCUAAAUCAGCUCUUCCAUCCCACACCAUUCAAGCAUCAGAAGAGCAGAGUUCAACACCAACACCAGUGAAAAAGUCUAGCAAGCUGAGGCAACAAAUAGAUAUCAAAGCGGAGCUGGAAAAGCGGCAAGGAGGGAAGCAACUCCUCAACCUAGUGGUCAUUGGUCAUGUUGAUGCUGGGAAAAGUACUCUGAUGGGCCAUUUGCUUUAUCUUCUGGGUAAUGUAAACAAAAGAACUAUGCAUAAGUAUGAACAAGAGUCUAAAAAGGCUGGCAAAGCUUCGUUUGCAUAUGCAUGGGUCUUGGAUGAGACUGGCGAAGAAAGGGAAAGGGGAGUAACAAUGGAUGUUGGUAUGACAAAGUUUGAGACCAAAACCAAAGUUAUUAUAUUAAUGGAUGCUCCAGGCCAUAAGGAUUUCAUUCCAAAUAUGAUUACAGGAGCAGCCCAGGCAGAUGUAGCUGUUUUGGUUGUAGAUGCCAGCAGGGGAGAGUUUGAAGCUGGAUUUGAGACUGGGGGACAAACACGAGAACAUGGCCUCUUGGUUCGUUCUCUGGGAGUGACCCAGCUCGCAGUUGCAGUCAAUAAAAUGGAUCAGGUUAAUUGGCAACAAGAGAGGUUUCAAGAGAUUACUGGAAAACUUGGGCACUUUCUUAAGCAAGCAGGUUUUAAGGAAAGUGAUGUAGCUUUUAUCCCUACAAGUGGUCUCAGUGGUGAAAAUCUAAUCACAAGAUCUCAGUCAAGUGAACUUACAAAAUGGUAUAAAGGACUAUGUUUAUUAGAACAAAUUGAUUCCUUCAGGCCUCCUCGAAGAUCUGUUGACAAGCCUUUUAGAUUAUGUGUAUCUGAUGUUUUCAAAGAUCAAGGAUCUGGAUUUUGUGUAACUGGUAAAAUUGAAGCUGGUUAUAUCCAAACUGGUGACCGACUGCUAGCAGUGCCUCCUAAUGAAACUUGUACUGCAAAAGGAAUCACUCUGCAUGAUGAACCUGUCGACUGGGCGGCAGCGGGCGAUCAUGUUAGUCUCACGUUGGUUGGGAUGGAUGUCAUCAAAAUCAAUGUUGGCUGCAUAUUUUGUGGCCCCAAAGAACCCAUUAAGGUUUGCACUCGUUUCAGAGCCCGAAUCCUCAUCUUUAAUAUUGAAAUUCCUAUCACUAAAGGAUUUCCUGUGCUGUUACACUACCAAACCGUCAGUGAACCUGCCGUUGUUAAACGACUGAUUAGUGUCUUAAACAAAAGCACUGGUGAAGUCACAAAGAAAAAGCCUAAAUUGUUGACCAAAGGCCAGAAUGCAUUGGUGGAGCUACAGACACAAAGACCAGUGGCUCUUGAGCUGUACAAAGACUUUAAAGAGCUGGGGAGAUUCAUGCUGCGCUACAGUGGUUCUACCAUAGCUGCUGGUGUAGUCACCGAGAUACUGCGUUCUACAAAAUGAAGGUUUGUGGCAACCUUGCAUUGAGCAAGUCUGUAAGCACCAUUUUCCCAACAGCAUUUGCUCACUUCAUGUCUCUGUGUCACAUUUUGGUAAUUCUUGCAGUAUUUCAGACUUUUACAUUAUUAUUAUAUUUGUUAUGGCGAUCUGUGAUCAGUAAUCUUUGAUGUUACUCCUACAAAAAGGUUACAACUCACUGAAGGCUCAGAUGAUGGUUAGCCUUUUUUAGCAAUAAAGUAUUUUUAAGUUAAGGUAUGUACAUUGUUUUCUUAGACAUAAUGCUAUUGCACUCUUAAUAGACUAUAGUAUAGUGUAAACAUAACUUUUCUGUGCACUGGGAAACCAAAAAAUUCCUAUGACUUGCUUUAUUGUGAUUCUCACUUUAUCGAGGUGGCCUGGAACGGAACCCACAAUAUCUCCGAGAUAAAAGACUGAUGGGUCAGAAUUUCUACCAUGUUUCUAAACACAAUGGGAUAGCUAACCUCCGUGUUUUGAAAGAAUCCAGUUAUUCAGUUAAAGCAACAGUGUUCAAUUGAUAUUUUUUUAAAUGGGAGAGAAAAUUCAAGCUAUAAUCAGCUGCAAAGAAGUAUCAUUCAUCACUCCUACAAAAAUUUUAAGUUGCCAACUGGCAAAGAAAGGCUAAUAUUGCACUUUCAUUUAAAAAACUAGCUUUUCCUUUGAAAUGUUAGUAAUGGAUUUACCUUGCUGAGACUUACGGAAGUUAUCAGAAAUAUGUGUUAGAAGACAUUGAAUCAUCAUGACGUGAACUCUACUUCCAGCCAAACCACAAAAUGUUUACAGUUUUCUCUUUUGAUUUCAACUUACAACACACAUUUUUAAGGAAGAAUAACUAAAAUGGGUUAUUGAGGUAGUUAAUAUUUGACCUGAGCAGUUUUGUAGUUAACUGUAAGAAAAGAUUUGUUGAAGGCUAAUAAAGGUAUUUUGUGUUGA